rnacentral:lncRNA from 1 species
CUGGGGUCCAGCUGUCUGCUCAGCGGGUGGGGAGGGAGCUGUGCAGAGGAAGAGCUGGGAGGCCAGAGCCGGGGCGAGAAAGAGGCCAAGCCACUCUCACAGAGACGAAGACUUUAGGAGGAGAGGAGAGGAGGCCACCGAGCUCGAGCUCAGGGAAGAGGGACUGAGGAAGCAAGCAAGAGGAGGCCCCAAAGACCCAGGCGUGGCUGGAGCAACCUUCUGGAACACCCCGGCCGAGGCCAUACUCUGAGGAAGGGGCGGGCUCUGGUGUGUGCGGGGAUGAGGUGGAAGGCCUCUGACCACGUUGGAAGCAUAUGCAUGGCCCGUGCCUGUGGUUCAGGAAGUUCAUUUGGACCUCUAAAGGAAGCUGAAGGCAACCUUUUAUCUCUGCACUUUGUUGUCUGAACUACAAAUUAUUUGCCAAUUAUUUUUCAACAUGGUGCCAAACAUCUUAAUAAAAAUAAACUACUUCUCAGUCAUCUGAGUCUUUUGACUACAUGUCACAAUCUUGUGAAUAUUUUUUAAAAAUUUCCACGUG